rnacentral:misc_RNA from 1 species
AGUUGGCGUCGGUAACUAGAGAGAGAGAUAGAACUUAGAGACAUCCACGAUGGACUCGACAGAAUUUGAAUAUCCGGGAAUGACCAGUGAAAGUCACCCAGAAUGUUUCAACAAGGAAGCAAUGCCGGCCCAACCCAAAGAGAAAAAACCAGGGCAACUUCCUGAACAUCUCGUAAAGCAGUUCUUUGAAGAGGGAUACAUCUUGAUAGAAGAUUUCUUCGACGUAAAGAAAGAGCUGGACCCAGUCAGGGAAGCCAUUAACACUUUAGUGGAUGACCUGGCCAAGAAACUAUACGACGCUGGCAAAAUUAAAAAGCUGUACAAGGACCUCGGGUUUUUUGAGCGGCUGACAAAAAUCGAGGCAGAGUUUCCUGGGGCCAACAUCAUACUUCACAAGACGGGUAAACUGCCUCAGGCUUUCCGAGAUCUGUGGGCAAAUGACAGGUUAUUAAACGUCAUCGAGCAGCUGAUUGGACCCGACAUUGCUACGUCACCUGUAUGGAAUCUGAGAACAAAAACGCCAAAAAACAAUGCCACUAUUGUUCCUUGGCAUCAAGAUAGUGGAUACUUCGACAACCAAUCGUACAACGUGUUGAUACCUACUGCGUGGAUCCCCCUUUUAGACACUGAUGAAUUCAACGGAGGAAUGCAAGUUGCAAAGAAAGGUCAUCGCACCGGCCGCGUAGCAACGCAUCAGUGUUGCUGGGGAAAUACGUGGUACGUCAUGCUAGAGGAAGAAGAAAUGAAGAAAACAUUAGGAGUGGACAUGGACAAAGACGUAAUCACAUGUCCAGUACCCUACGGAGGAAUGCUGCUGUUUAACAACCUGACCCCCCAUCGAAGGUUUGAGCAAAUAUAAUAAUCUUAAGGAAAUAAUAACGUUAAUUCGAUAUUAAAGAAGAUUAUUUUGUGCUAUCACUAUUCAGUCAUUACCGAUUUUCAUUAGCUGUGGAUUACAUUAACGAAGGAUUUACCACAGAGAUGUUAUUUAGAUCAUUUCCGAUUUUGACAUAUAAAAUACGCAAUGCUUCUAAACAAUGAGAUCAAAAACCGUUACGACAUGUCAUUCGACCUUCGUUCAUGUAUGUUCAUGUAUAUCCAGGGAGUGAUACAUUUCAUAGGCGUAGAAUCAACAGGAAAUUAGAUGUCGAGUUCGAAGCUUUUUUAAGGUUUGGAAAGAUUUCCACAGAGCUUAAUAUGAUCUUAUUCAAUUGUAAUUACUCCAAUCACUCACAUUAGGGUGCGGUUGAUGGCACUCUAUAUUACAAGUACUUUUAUAGUACUUUACAAGAUAUGGUGUCAGUUUCAUUGAAUUUCAAAAUCUGCAGAUUUACCACAACAUUUUAAAUGUUCUCAUAGUCUCCCAAACAUUUCCAACCAAAUCCGCUGGGCCCUAGAUCUCAGAUGGCAGCGACCGGAUCAGCCCUUUGGACUAUAUGGCCUCAAAGACGGUCUACUUCUACGCAAAGACGGCAAAACUGUGGAGCCUGACUGGGAAAAAUUCGAGUCGGUGGAUAGGACCACCGUCCAGAAGAUGUCAGUCGAGGGAUUCGUGGACGUGAUAGUCGAUGAAGAGUUUGACACCACGAUCCAAGGUCCCUGGAUGAAAAAAUGGCAAAUUACUCACAUGAAUACGCACACUGACGCACAUGAACGCGCAGAGAGGAAGUGACGUAUAAACUUGGCAAUAUUCUAUGUUAGUGAAAAUCCAUUUUGAAUCAUUUUUGCAUACUUGUAUUGACUUUAAAAUAUAACAAGUUGACAACUUUAGAUAAUACCUGCUCCAGUGUAUCACCUUUGAAAAGCAGGGUAUUCCUUUUUCCGGAGUUUAAAGAUUAUGCAAUCUGUUCAUCGAAUAAAAAUCGAAGCAUACUUGUAGUACUAAAAUCUUUUACAUAAUUAAUGAUUUAAUAUUUCAUAAAGAUUGUGUUUGCAAUAUUAAAAAUUCAAUAAUUUGUUUUAUACAAUGUAUACAGGUGUAACAAGUCUAAUAUAAAGUACAAUAAACAAAAUCAAUCAAAACUGAAAUUAAUCAGAAAUAUUCCUUUUUACAUUAUUUUACAGUUUAUUUCAUCGUGGUUAUAUAUUAUCAUAAUUUAUGAAAAAAUGUGUUACAUAAAUAAAAAAAAUAUUCAAC